AAGAAACCUUGGUUAGAGCUGAAGACUGAUUAACUUUGAACUUUGAAAAA
rnacentral:sRNA from 1 species